rnacentral:lncRNA from 1 species
CUGACGUGUGCAAACUCGAGCCUGAAGUAAUGGAGGGCAGCAGCUCAUCCUUACCCUCCAUCAUGACAGUUUACAUCAAAGAGGAGCCUGAAGAUGAGGGAGAGGACAUAACUGUGAAGGAUGAACCACUUUGCAGUGAAGAAUAUGAGGGUGCCAUGCCGUGCGAUGCUCCGGCC